UACGUAGGAUGCGAGCGUUGUCCGGAAUUAUUGGGCGUAAAGGGCUCGUAGGCGGUUUGUCGCGUCGGGAGUGAAAACCUUGGGCUUAACUCAGGGCUUGCUUUCGAUACGGGCAGACUAGAGGUAUGCAGGGGAGAACGGAAUUCCUGGUGUAGCGGUGAAAUGCGCAGAUAUCAGGAGGAACACCGGUGGCGAAGGCGGUUCUCUGGGCAUGAUCUGACGCUGAGGAGCGAAAGUGUGGGGAGCGAACAGG
rnacentral:rRNA from 1 species